rnacentral:rRNA from 1 species
CCUACGGGUGGCAGCAGUGAGGAAUAUUGGUCAAUGGACGAGAGCCUGAACCAGCCAAGUCGCGUGAGGGAUGACUGCCCUAUGGGUUGUAAACCUCUUUUAUAUGGGAAUAAAGUGUUCCACGUGUGGGAUUUUGUAUGUACCAUAUGAAUAAGGAUCGGCUAACACCGGGCCAGCAGCCGCGGUAAUACGGAGGAUCCGAGCGUUAUCCGGAUUUAUUGGGUUUAAAGGGGGCGUAGGUGGAUUGUUAAGUCAGUUGUGAAAGUUUGCGGCGCAACCGUCAAAUUGCCGUUGAAACUGGCAGUCUUGAGUAUAGUAGAGGUGGGCGGAAUGCGUGGUGUAGCGGUGAAAUGCUUAGAUAUCACGAAGAACUCCGAUUGCGAAGGCAGCUCACCGGACUGCAACUGACACUGAGGCACGAAAGUGUGGGUAUCAAACAGGAUUAGAUACCCUUGUAGUC